rnacentral:lncRNA from 1 species
UCCUUCCCCUCAAACUCGAGCUGCUCUCGAGCACGGCGCUGGCCUUGAUGGCGAGCAUGCAGAGCUCUUGUAAAGAGAGCGGCACUCGGGACAUGGAGAGAGGCAAGAGGAAAUAGAGUUGGUCCAAUUGGAGGUCUUCUUCUUCUUGAAUUUGGGGGGCUAUGGAGUCGAUGAACAUGGACUCAGAGCUGCAGAGGAAGCAGUUGGGGUUUUGGGAGAGGAGGUGAGAGGCCUUGGUGGUUUGAGUGAACUCUUGCAGUCUUCCGUCCAUGUGAAUGAGCUUGAGCGUGGAUGGAGAUGGUGAUAGCCAGCUAUGAUGAUGGGUGGUCAUGGCAAGGCCACCAUUUCUUGUGACCUGAGGAGCUGCACAGUUGCCCAUUCUAUAUCAGAGAGAGAGAGAGAGAGAGAGAGAGAGAGAGAGAUUGAUGUUUGUUUGGCCAAUAUGUUUGAUAUGGGCAGGUAUUUAAUGGGAAAGUAAAGGCGUGUUUGAGAGUUUUGGAUUGACUGAUGACCCAACUUUUGACCCUCAACAGUGUAAUUUAUAAACAAAUGCUUUUGGGGGCAUACUCGUUCCAUGUCUCCUUAAACUUCACGUCCAUCGCACAAGAACUUUCAAACCUCAAUAAUUGCACAUUAUCUCUUUCAACUUUGUCACCGUAGGCCCCAUAGUCCUCAUACUUUUAAUAGUCACACAUUACUUUCCUGAGCUUUAAGGUUUGUUGAGCUUGGCCAUGGCAGUCCAGAAUUUCUUCAAGCUUCCGAUUAUGGCCGCUUGGGAUUUGGCAUUGGUGGCCAUGUUAGGUUUGCCAGGUUUUGAUGUGAGCAAAUUUCAUCACGAGACUGAUCAAAUGAUACUUUUAAAAAGUAUAUGGAUGAUUUUGAACCAAAAACAAAAAUACAAGGGCGUUUUUUUUUAUUUUGGCUAAAGCAUAGGGACCAACGGCAAUAUCUCACCAAUUAAAUCUGCUAAAUUAUUUUGGGGAAUAUUAAAUCAUUAGGAAAAAGAAAUUUCCAUUUCUAAAAACUCUUCAAACACGUAAGGACAUGCGAAUAAAGAAAACUCAUAAUUGAUCAAGAAUUAGACAAUAUUAUCGAUAAUUAUAGAUGACUUGGCGUUCGUAAGUCAUUAGGUAUUUUCUCCUAUAUUAUUCGGCGUAUGCCAAAAAAAGAAAGAGGAAAAUAAAGUAAUUUACCCGGAUUCUCAUGGGCAGUGGAAUCUAGAACACGACGCAAAAGUCGUCCCAGCGGUCAAUGUACAAAGGAUCGAAAGCCAUUAGCGGACGACAUGGCAAGACUGGCAUUCCAAGUCUUCCCUUUUGAUGCUCGGAAGCUGCUGGAAGGCCCAUGCAUUGCAAUUCUCAGGAAGCAACCCAUGCAUGACCAACGUUGAAAAUCUAGAUUUUGACAGAUGACGUAGGCAAUUCUCACGUAGCAUUGCUGACGGGAACUUCAAAUAUAGGGAUAAGUGCAUAUGAGUUUUUAAAACUUAUCAUCAAAAUAUAAUUAAAACUUAUCAUCAAUAAUUAAAUUCUAAAACUUUCAAAAUUAUAAUAAAAUUUUUCUAUUAACUUCAUUUAAUUUGGUUAGGAAAAAAUGUUGAUGUGAAUUUUUUUAUUUUCCGUUUUCUAUGCAGUGCUGACAUGAUUAAAAUUAUUUUAAAAAAAAAGAUUAAAGGAAGGGAAAUCAUGCAAGUGCUUGCUUGCGUCGGUGAGGGUGACCAGCCAGCAACCACCAUUAUCAGCCCUUUCCAGCGGUAGCAUGGUACCUGCAAGGGCCCUUCCCAGUUUUCCUUCCUUCCCUUUCUUUUUUAUUUUAAAAUUAGCAAUUUUUUAUUCUAAUUUAAAUAAACUUUAGGUCAAAAAAUCAUUUGGACCAAAAUGACAACAUUUGAACUUUAUACUUCAUGCUUCAGUCACGUCAGCGUCAUGUUGGAAAAUUUUUUUAAAAAAAUCACAUUGCCAUUUUUGUUAAUCAAGUUAGAUAGAAUUAAUGGAAGGACUUGGUUAUACAAAUUUUACAAAUGUUAAGACUUGAUUGCAUUUUUGUAAUAAGUUUUAGAAUUUUAAAUGACGUAUGAAUCCUUUUCAACUUAGUCCAACGUUUACGUUAAAAUGGGUCGGAUAAGAAUAAGAAGACCCACUGGUCAUAGUCAACGUGAAGUCUUUGCCUUCUUUAGGAAGAAAGGCCAUAUAUUGCUAGUACUACGAUUAUUGGUAGUAAUCUCUCUUUGAAAAAUAUUUUAAUUCGAUUUCUUUUCCUAAUAACCUAUCUACAAACUCGAGGGAACUUGUCCAAUUAUUACUAAACCUAUUGUACAAAUAUUAAUUCAAUUAUAAUUUUUUCAAUUUAAUCUUAAAUCUUCUUCCAAAAUUCUAAGGCAGUCUUUUUAGCUAUAUUUCAUUGAAAAUCAUUGAUGUGAUUGUAAGUGAUGUAAGAGGGCCAUUGAUGACUAGAUCGCCAUAUCAACAACUUCCAACAAAAUAUAGCCUGAAUAAUCAUAUUGAAAUUUUGUGUAAAAAUUUAGAAUUAAAUUGGUAAACUUGAAAAAUUUAUAACUGAAUUAAUAUUUGUCCAACAAGUUUAAGAUUGAUUGGAUAAUUUUCUUUACUUAGAGAUUGUUGUAAAAAAUUUAUGAGCUAUGUUUUCACUUAGGAUAACAUUUCAUUUAUUUCAAAUUUUCAAAAAUUAGUUUCUUUUUGAAGAAUAUUUUACACAAUAUGAUAACACGCUAAAAUUCUGCAAAAUGCAUGAGAUGUAAGCAUGUCCCAUUUUCACCUAUACCCACUCUAUGGAAUUUUAGUAGUAUUCUUAUAAAUUAUAUUAUUUCUUUUGGAGACUUUAUCUAAGUUGAAUGUUAUCUCAAACAUGUCAUGAGUGGAGGACCACUCACACUACUCGCUAGUUGAAAAGACCCGCAUGUAUUUUUUGGACGAGGGGAGUUCUUUUAUAGAAACAAUAUCUAUAAGAGACGUGCCUAAUUUUUUUUUCCUUGUUUCUUUUUUGCUUUGAAGUUGAUAGAAAUAAUUAGGAUUUCUUUUUUGAUUCUUCAUAUCUCUCGUGAUUGUGCACAUUCCUAGGUAAUUACCCUUAUCUCUUUGAUUGUGCAUAUCCUUGAAUUGAAUGUUAAAAGUUUGACCCAUGACAUGUUUAUGGGAUUUAUAUGCUCUUUAUGAUCUCCCUUUACCUAUUAAUUUAAAAUUUUGGAUUGGAAAUUCUAACAAAAGUUUGAGUCACAAGAUUCUUUGCGAGUGACCUAAGCAAAAUUUUUGGAUAAAUUCACUAGAAAUCUUAAAACUUCUUGUAAAAAUACAAUUGAAUCUUAAAACUUUAAUAAAGUGCAAUCAAAUCAUCAAACUUGUCACAUUGGUACAAUCAAGUCCUUCCGUUAAUACCGUCAACUUAACUAACAGAAAAUGUUAACGUAACUUUAUCUCUCUUACGUGGCAUUUAUCAUCAUCAUCAUCUUCAUCAUCAUCAUCAUCAUCAUCAUCAUCAUCAUCAUCAUUAUAUUCAAAUAUUAUUUAGAUUAGUUUUAAAAAAGAAAAUGCUAAAAUUUUAUUUUUAAUAUAAAAUUGAAAAUAAAGAAAGGGAGGGGCAAUUCGCCGAUGGAAAGCCGCCGCUGCCAUCACCCAUUGCCGAAGGGACCGCUGGAGGCCGCUAGCUUUAGGCGAGGGUGGUAGGCCCCUGACAAGAGCUAGUGACCCUCGCGAGAUCCAAGCAAGGGUGCCUAGAUUAUGGCAUCGUUAGCCCCCCUUGGGGCCGGCAACUAUCACCUGCCCUGGGCAAGACCUUAGUGAUCCAAAAGGAGGGCCAGCAACCCUUGCCCAGGCAAGGCUCACCCAAAUUUGGGCAUACACUUAGUAUGAUAGGCACCCAACCCAAGUAUAAGCAUAGUCAUACUCAUACUAAUGAUGCACAUGAACUCUAAAAAAAGGAGUGAAAUGAAAUCCAGUAAAUGAAAUCCCUAGGUCUAAGGUGAAAGAUCAUCUUAAUGCUCAACUUGGUGCAAACAUAGUGAGUUCAAAGACAUGUAAGAUAAUCAUGAAUCACACAUGCAAGAAUGAGAGCUCUAUCCUUACUAACAUCAUAUGCCAAUGAACAUGUUAACAAUAAUACCAUGGGUCCUCCACUUAAGAGGAAGAGAAAGACAAAUUAAUUCAUAAUGCACCAGUAUUGUAAUGAUCUAAUCCGAUGAGGACUGAAGUGACUCGUAGGGCCAAAAAGGGCUUGGACAAGGUGUAGCUCCCACUCUAGGAUGGCAUGGGGGCAAGAAUAAACUAAAUCUCAAAUCGCCUAGGUAUGGUGAGGUGAUGUGCUAUAUAAGGAGUAGCAUCAAUCUUAAUUACCAAUGAAGCCUUUUCAAAGUGAAGCCUGAAGAAUAAAAUUAUGUGAGCUCUAGAGCAAAGCGGACAAUAUCAUUGAUAAGUGAGGCCAGAGGUUGACCCUUACAAGUAUAACCUAGUGUCUCACUAUUAUACAUAUGGAAUAUCCAUCAUGUGCAAAUAAAUGGCAUAAUAUCUCAUGAUGCAUGGUUGCCAUUAGUUAAUGACUUAUAAGAAUAUGUAUGAACUAUGCACACGCAUGAAUAUGCAUCAUAUUUAUCAUCUCUCCUCCUCUAGAAUACUCUCAAGGCAUCCCGAUCACAAAGGAGGAAUUCUAAUCACACAAUAAGGCAUCUCAACUCCGAGGCAUCCCGCACCAUUUGCCCAUCAGGCAUCCUAACCUAUGAGGCAUCUCGACUCCCAAGGCAUUCCAAAAACUCCCUAGGGCAUUCCAAUCACACAACGGGACAUCUUGACAUGCGAGGCAUUGUCACAAACUACUAUAUGGGUGACGAAAUACAUCACACUUCAUAUUUGGUCAUAUGAUGCCAUUCACACAUCAUUGAUAUUGCAUGAUUUCACAUGCAUCAAGAGUAAUACCAACACUCAUUUCAACAAUUGGCAUCCAUUUCACAACACAUUUACAUACAUCGUAAGGAAAUAUUCACAUGCUUACCUCUUUUUCAUAUCUCAUGCAAACAUGUCCAAUACUUAACAAUUAGUAUGCCAUACAAUGAAUUUGAGCAGCAAAACAAAUGAAUCUAAAUAUUUGCAAUUGGUUCUAAAUGAAAAGUCUAAACAUGAGGGAAUGGUUCUGAAUGGGAAAUUUUGAAGUAUAAGGAAGUGAUUCUAAAACGAAAAGUCCAAAAUAUAAAUGUGAUUCUUAACAAAGAAUCUGACACAUAGGCAAAUGAUUAUGAAUGGAAAGUCUAAAACAUAAGGAAGUAAUUUUGAACAAACAUAAGCAAAUGAUUCUAAAUAGAAAGUCUGAAACAUGAUUCUGAAGGAAACGGUUCAAAAUGGAAAGUCUAAGACGUAAGGAAAUGAUUAUGAAUAGAAAGUCUGAAACAUAAGGAAAUGAUUUUGAAUAGAAAGUCUGAAACACAAGAAGUGAUUUUGAAUGGGAAAGUCUGAUCAUAAGGAAAUUGUUCUGAUUGGGAAAGUCUGAUCGUAAGGAAGUUGUUCUAAUCGGUGAGUGAAUAAACUCAAAAAGUAAAUCAAACUCUGAGAGGGUCCAACUCAGAAAGCAAGUCCGAUUCGGAGAGUAUCUCAUACUCAAGAGCGAAUCAGACUCAGAAAUGAAUUAUAUUCAAAAUUAAUAAGUGAAUGUUAUCAACGACAGUUACAUUUGCAGUUUACAAAAACAUCACUCUCAAAUUCAAAUCCAUCGUUUACACAUUCAUAUGUCGCCACACCUAAAAGAAAUAAUCAAACACAUUCUAACCAUGUAUAGAAUCCACAAAAUAGAUUAAACUGUCACAGCACAUUCACAUCCCUAUUUCACAUACUUGUACUAAGUUCACACAUUACAACCAACCAAUUUAAAAGCACUAAGAAGUUCAAUAUAACUUAGUGACUUGGGGUUUCACUUACCUCAAAAAUGACUUCAAAUUAAGAGCUCUAAAUCACCUGCAAAUAGAAUAAACCAAAACCAAAAUCAACAAAGCUUGAUUUGAAAACAAUAAAAUCCAUUGAUAAAUUGUAGUGAAAUCAAAUGAUUAACCUAGUUCAAACUCAGAAGAUUGAAAUAGAAACUUUUAUCAAUUUGAGUGUAGGACCUCCAUUUCUAAUUAUGAGUUCUUGAAAAUUAAAGCAAGAAGAAGUGGGUUGAUGGUUGAAGUUAAUGAAGUGAAACCUCGAAAAAGGAAAGCUUGCCAUCGUUUUUCUUCAAGAAAUCAAGGCAAAAGAAAUUUUUAAAGAGCCCUCAAUGGUUAUCAAGAAGGAGUAAUGAUUCAACCAAGGUUAAAGAAAAUUUGAACUUUAGUUAAAAAGCAGGUGUCCCAGUAGAUGAGCCUCAAAUGUCCCUAUGAAGCUAGUUAGAAUACAAAUGAUUCAAUAGAACUUGGACACUAGAAGAUAUUUUGAUAAGAAUGAAGAUGGGCCUCUCUCAUCUGGCCAAGUAGGGGUGUGAUUCAGCAAUCGCAUUUAAUGGACCAAAAUUAAAUUCGAUGAUGUCAUGAAUGAUAUGAAAGCUUCCAAGUUCAGUGUCUCAAAAAGCAUGAGUUUAUAAUCUUUGGUAAAGAAAAUAGAAGUGACUUGUAAAUUGAAGACGAAUGAGAUUCAAGAAAUCUAUUUCAUUCAAAACAUCUAAUUCAGGAAAUAUUUUCAUUCUAAACAUCUGACAAUUUGAAAAUAGUUUCAUUCUGAACAUCUUAUUUUGAACAUUUAUGACUCUGAAAACAUUUCCCACUAAAAUCAUUAAUGAAUGAUAUAAAAAUUGGGAUAAUCUCAAUAUAAUAAAUUUAAAAGUCGAAUAUCUUCAAAUAAAAAGUUUAAAACAUACCAACCCUACUUUAUCAAUAAUUUGACAGCGAAUUCAAUAUUCUUGUUCGACACCACUAACGUACACGUCGAAGUCUAUCAACUUAAUUCUAGUGCCUCAGUAUCCUAGCAAUCUAAUUGUUGAUAUUAAUCCUAAGUAUUAUUAUCGAAAAUGGAAAUUUCCAGAUGUCAAAACAUGCCCCUCCAUUUCAUUAUUUUCAUUUUCUUAAAAAUAAUUUUUUUGCAUCUUUUUUAGUUCUUUAAUCUAAUUUAAAUAAUAUUCGAAUAAAAUAAUAAUAAUAAUAAAUGCCAUGUUACUCCGAGAAAUAGAAGAACUCAACGAAUUUGGGGUAUUGACCCGGCCAUCUUUGCGGACUAAGUGCUUUGGCCUUUGCUGUUUCAUCGCCUACUAGCGUGUCAAGGUCUCAUUGCCUUUUCUUUCAGAGGGUUGGUGUUGUUCUUGUCCAUUGGCUCCUUUUGGUUGUUUUCACUUGUCUGGUUGUAUUUUCUUGUAGCUUUUCUUUCUAUUUGGCUCUUUCGUGGAUGCCGUUUGGCCUCCUGUUGCUACCUUGGUAGCUUUUGGCUUCUUUUUCCUGGCUUCCUUCCACUCGACCUGGCUUAUUACCUCGUUGAGUGUAAGUUUUUGAUGCCAGUUUCCGAGUUGUUUGUUUGGUUUAAAUCAAUAUAUUCUUACCUUACCAAAAAAAUAAAAAAUGCCAUGUUAACAUUUUCCGUCAGUUAAGUUGACUGUGUUAAAGAAAUAUUUGAUUACACUAAUUUGAUAAAUUUUAUGACUCGAUUGCACUUUUUGAAACUUUUAGGAUUCAAUUGUACUUUUAUGAUAAGUUUUAGGAUUUCUAAUGAACUUAUCCACAAAAUUUUUAAGUAGAAAAAAUUGAUUGAAAUAAGAUAUAAAAGGACCAUAGUAGAACUCUCGGCUGCCUCUCUAGCUAAAUAUGGGAUAUGUCCCUUGACAUUCAUUAUUGUCAAGAAUAACGGUAACCAUUAGCCUAAAAUAAAAUUCGCACUUCUUACAAUUCAUGUACAAAAUUUGUCUAAUGAACCCGCCUAAAAAUUCGGAAUUUUAUGGCCGGUAAUCUUCUAGUCCCCGUUAAAUUUAUAUUAAGAUCUAGAUAUGUCAUUUAGCAUUAUUUAAGGCAGCCACACAAUGAUUUCAAUUACUUCCUCGUGCCCUCUGCCUUCUACUUGAGCUUAUACUAAUACCAAAUGCUAGAUUUAGAUAAAGAGUCUAAAUGACGUUAAAUCUAAAGUGCCAAACUGAUAAAGCAAGCGUGUACCGACAUCGUGUUUGUUAGGUCCAUAAGCAUUUCCGGCCAAAAGGGAAAGGUCUAAAAGCACCCGAUAAUGAAUAACCCAAGCAAUUUUUCAGCAUAGCAUGCCAUGGACCAAAGCUUGUCGCGCUUGACUUGUUUGGUUCAAAGUUAUAAAAAAAAAAAAAAAAAUCAUAAAAAGCUGCAAAAAGAUGGAUAUAUAUAUGUUUGGACUAAUACCAUUAAAAUUUCCAAAUCAGUACUACAAAAACAUAUUAAAACCAAACUAAUUUUUGUCUUACCAAAAAUCUCAAAAAAGGUAUCCCGUGUUCCAUUUGCCUUAAAGUAAUUUUCACCUCACAAAAGAUCUCAAAUCAGUAUUCCUGACCCAAAUAUACUCUCUCUUAAAGUACAAACUUCUUAGCACAUGUGCUAGAUGAUGCAAGAUGAACUUGAGGUGGAGAAUGCCAAGUCCGAAUUGAUUGACAAUUGCAAGAUAGUCAUGUAAAGAAUAACAUAUCUGACAUAGAAAAUCCACAUAUAUUCACAUGUAUGCAUUUUAACAAGAUAUUGGAUGGAAUCGGACAAUAGAUUUGGGUCAAGCGUGCCGGUUUGACAUUUUUCAUUAGAUGAAAAUUAAUUUAAAGUAAAUAUAUCAUCGGAUACUAGUUUGUAACUAUUAAUAGUAUUGCUUCUAUCUGUUGAUACAAGGUGAUAUUUCACUUAAAUUAUACGCGAGAUUUUGGGCUCAAGUGACAAACAUGAUAGCUCAAAGUUAAGAGAACAAUAUAGUUCUUUAUUUAAUAUCAUGCGCAAGUAGGUUAAUGAAAAACUCUUCUUGAAAAGAUAUACAGUUUUUACUGUACAAAAAUACAGUUAAAUAACUAAUAUUACGAUUGUCAAAUCAUAGUGCCGCACUUUAGAGUUAAUUGGGCAAGAGCUUAAUAGUCAAUUAUCAUAGCACUAGGGGUCUCCUAGGUUAUAGUUAGCAUAGCUAUAGUAAAAAUUAAUUCUCCACGUGAAGUGGACUGACCGCCAAAGUUUUUUAUUUGUUGGUAAUUCCCUUUUUAUUGGUCAAAUUAUUUAUAUUUUCGAACCUUUUGUACCUCCAUUCCUUAUCAUGGGCUAUAUAGCAUAGAAAAUUUACUACUUUUUUUCUUCUUUUGUUAAGUGCGAUAACUUUUUCCCCUGCCGUACAAACGAAAAUUAAGCACCGCAUAUAAAAGUGAAGAAAUUACCUCGUUUAGGCUACAUAUAAAGUUACUUUGUAUUAAAAUAAUAAUAUCAACGAUAAUCAUGAUCAGUGUGACAAUAAUAAUGACGAGGAUGAUGAUGACCAUGAAGAUAAUGAUAGACACAAUUGUAGUUCGCCUGAAACAUUGACACGUGAUUCAAGUUUCACUAAAAAGACUUGUUAACUUUAGGACAACCGAAAGAAGUUGUUCAAAAAAAAAAAAAGAAAAGAAGAGCUUAUAGCAUAUCGUUCAAGUUGUUCCUCCUGUCAUGUAUUCGGUUCCCGCUUCUUCUCAUAGGCAUACACUUUUACAGCUCAAUCUUCCGAUUGCUCUCACCCAAGCUCAAUCUCGUGGUGUCACACCCGGUUGGAGCUCGACACCAUCUCCAGUGAGCCACCCCUGAUGAAACUCCGUCCUUCCUUCUCCUCGCAAUCGAGCUGCUCUCAAGCACGGCACUGGCCUUGACGGCAAGCAUGCAGAGCUCUCGGAAAGAGAGUGGGACUCGGGACAUGGAGAGAGGCAAGAGGAAAUAGAGUUGGCCCAAACAGAGGUCUUCUUCUUCGUGGAUUUGGGGGACUAUGGAGUCGAUGAACAUGGACUCUGAGCUGCAGAGGAAGCAGUUUGGGUUCUGGGAGAGGAGGUGAGAAGCCUUGAU